UCGAGAAUUUUUCUCAAUGGGCGAAAGCCUGAAGGAGCGACGCCGCGUGGGGGAUGAAUGGCUUCGGCCCGUAAACCCCUGUCAUUUGUGAACAAUGUCUUUCAUCUAAUAGGUGGGAGAUUGAUAGUAACGGAAGAGGAAGGGACGGCUAACUCUGUGCCAGCAGCCGCGGUAAUACAGAGGUCCCAAGCGUUGUUCGGAUUCACUGGGCGUAAAGGGUGCGUAGGUGGUGGGGUAAGUUUGAUGUGAAAGCUCCGGGCUUAACCCGGAAAUGGCAUUGAAUACUAUCUCGCUUGAGGGUUGGAGGGGAGACUGGAAUUCUUGGUGUAGCAGUGAAAUGCGUAGAUAUCAAGAGGAACACCAGUGGCGAAGGCGAGUCUCUGGACAACUCCUGACACUGAGGCACGAAAGCUAGGGGAGCAAACAG
rnacentral:rRNA from 1 species